CUGCUGCUGCAGCAACUGAAUUC
rnacentral:piRNA from 1 species